UGGCACGUAAUGCAGUUGUGUGAGCACACAUUUUCCACUUCUGGAUCAAGAAGGCAUGCAAAAAGAUGUUCUUCAUCUUCAUUUCCAUAACUAGGGUCAGUGCUUCUUAGUAUUUGGGUUAAGAUUUUCAGGUGAUAAGAUAGCCCUGUGCUCUUUGUGAUUGUUUAUGUUCUGCAACUGGCAUGCAUGGCAUGAACAAACAAUUCACACAACGAAAGUACUCCAAACUGCCCCCCACUGCUUUCCCCUCUAAUAAGAACUUUUCUGCGUAAGAUGCAGACCAUGCUACAGCUCUGCAGCUGAACUCGGUGUAUUCACAUGCAGCAGUCAUGGAAGAAGCUGAGUUCUAUAGUUUUAAAGAACAAAUGCACUUUAAUUUUUAUUCAGGCCUGCCUGCAAUUAAGCUGAAGGGUUUGCAUGUCUGCUAGUCUACAUGUGGGUAGAAAGGCAGUGAGGUUAAGAUAAUAGGCUUAAAAUGUAUUCUCAGAAAACAUUUAAAACCACAGUAGGGUGUGAUUGUAUGCAAAUAAGUAUUUUUGCAAUAGCAGAUUAAGCACCUUAUGGAAUUUGUAUGGAAAGCUGCAUGCUUGUACAUGAUGCAAAGUAUGAUUAAGCACCGGUGUGUGUGGAGUUUUUGCCUUUGGUAAAAAAAAAAAAUUAAGGCAGAUUUAAAUCAAUCAUUGGCUUUCUCAGUCUUUACACAGCGUAAGCUGUAAGUUAUGAAUGGUGAUUAUAAGAGAGAAAAUGUUAAAAAUAACAUUUCUUUUUCCCCCCUGGGUCUGCAUCCUUAAAGCGUAUGUCCUGCUGUGGUUGCUAGGCCAGAAAAAGCAUUGCACUUGCAGAAGGUCUCUGCUGUAGGAUGGCAACACAGAGGAUCUGCAACAGAGAGAAAAGAAAACUGGUGAACGAUGUCUUCCUAAUACAGCUAUUCUGGAAAAUGUGUGCAGAGGAGCCUGGAGGAUGGAGACCACGGAAUUCUUCUCAGGAUGGCCUGGCUCAGGUCUUUGUUUUCUACUGUUUGACGAGAGU
ensembl:lncRNA